UCUAUUAUCCGACGUCUGUCCGUUUUCACACCUAUCCCAAGGUCAUUUCGGUUAAUCUCCACACGCAUCGCGGACACGGAGACUUGCCUUCCUUUUGGUGCGGAAAAAGAAAGAGAGGAGAAGCGAAGGAGGUUCUCAGUUGGAGCGGCUCCCUCUCCCCGCGCGCGCCACCGCCUCCGAUCCGAGCAGCCGCCUACAGUCAACCCAUUCAACCUCAAAUGUUCCUUGUGAGGUAUCAUGACAGAACAGCAGGAAGGUGUUAGCAAGAGCUCUUCCUCAAGUAUUAGCAGCAGCACUCAGGAGAGUGAGGAGGAACUGACCAUCGGUACCCUUAUAACCGAAGCAACAAACACAACAAACAGUGCCAAGAGUCUUGGAAAGCGCCUUUCACACUUAGAUUCGAUCCCGCACACUCCACGUGUUAAUGGGAAAAUUCCAGAUUUUAAUAAUGCGACAAUUGAUCAUGAAUCAUUAUUAGAAAGAUUAGGCACUUAUGGCUUAGCUGAAUAUCAAAUAGAAGGAGAUGGGAAUUGCCAGUUUCGAGCUCUGGCAGACCAGAUAUUCCGCAAUCCUGACUAUCACAAACAUGUGAGGAAGGCGGUAGUGAAGCAGCUGAAGGAGUUCAGGAAACACUAUGAAGGUUAUGUGCCAAUGGAAUAUAAGGUUUACUUGAAGAAAAUGAAAAGGUCUGGGGAAUGGGGUGAUCAUGUGACCUUACAGGCAGCUGCAGACAGGUUUGCUGCUAAAAUAUGUCUGUUGACAUCGUUUAGAGACACAUGCCUAGUUGAGAUAGUCCCCAGAGAUGCCACUCCAACAAGAGAGUUUUGUUAAGUUUCUGGAAUCCACAUGCACAAUACAAGGUCAGUAAAUUUUAGUGUAAGAUUUGGUGCCUCAUUAUUUGCUUGUACCUUUUUGCAGAGCUUUGGCUAAGUUUCUGGUGUGAAGUACACUACAAUUCAUUGUAUGCAGUUGAAGAUCUUCCAACACGGAAAACUAAGAAGAAGCAUUGGCUGUUCUAGCUCGCCAGGCUUUGGUGAUUUCUUGGUAUGCUAUUGGUCUUCUCUUUGUAGUCCAGCAGCAUCUGUAAGCCUGCUUAGUUAUGCCUUUGUUUGUUGUAAGUUGUAACUUGACCUGGAAUCAAAUUCAUUUAAGAUCAUGCAAAAUACAGUGAGCUCUUGCUUCGUCCUUGGCUGAAAUAUUUCCAGCA